GUUUAUUGACUAUACACUUACAAUCGGGAUUAUUUGAGGACAUUGCAUCUGGAACUUAUGAAUCUUCUUCAGUGUCCAUUUUUAUAAUCAAGGAAGCAGUCAUUCCUCAGUGGGGGCCAAUGUGGCAGGUGUUGGGAGCAAGUCCCCCAAAAUCUGGCCAUAAACUGGCCCCAAGACUAGCCAUAAGCAAAAUCUCUGCAGCACUGUAACAUGUUCAUAAUGGCCCUAAUGCCCACACUGGAAGGUUGUGGGUUUACAGGAAUGUGGGCAAGGAACAUCUGGCCCGCCCACGGCUGAAAACCACUUAAAAGCAUUCUUAGGUCACAAACAAUAGCAUGAGCGAUCUGUACCUUAAGGACGUGUUCCUGCUGCAGUUAACUAGCCCAACCUAUUCCUUUAAUUCGGCCCAUCCCAUCAAUUCCCAUAAGGGAUACUUUUAGUUAAUUUAAUAUCUAUAUAAACAAUGCUAAUGAACGGUUUGUUGUUAACAAAUAUGUGGGUAAAUCUGUUUGGGGCUUUCAGCUCUGAAGGCUGUGAGACCCCUGAUUUCCCACUUCACACCUCUAUAUUUCUGUGUAUGCGUCUUUAAUUCCUCUAGUGCCGCUGGGUUAGGGUCUCCAUGACUGAGCUGGUCUUGGCAGGCAGGGGUAACAGUUACUUCACUCCAUCCUUUUCUUUCGCGGGUGACCUUCAGUCCAUGUUUUCCUAUAUUUGCCUAUUCUCUCAUGAAACUUACUCACAGAAAGAGAGCUUGUCUAACUCAGCCAGAGGAGCAUGUGCACAGACCAAUCUUCAGUCUAGAUGGCACAUGAUGGAGUGGUGA
rnacentral:lncRNA from 1 species